rnacentral:lncRNA from 1 species
GAAAGAAUAUUAAGAAAAUGUGAAAGGGGUAUGCAGCCUACUGUCAACUAUUGUGUUGUAAAUCCUGGGAUCCUACUGAAUGUGUCAUACAAAUGACAGAGGAUUCAUCAUAAUUAUCGACUGAUUCUAUUAGACUUGCACCAACCCCAGUAUGGACCAAUCUCUCAUUCCAUCUUCUAGAGAACCUUGGAUAACUGAUUAUGGUGGUUUUGUGUAUAAGUUUAUUUUUCAUGUCACUGAACUUUCUUUGUUGCAGUCUAAUAUGUAUUUAAAGUAUUGUUCUGUACUGACAUCUAUCUAAUAGCACAUUGAUGACACAAAUUAUAAACAA